AACAGGAUUAGAUACCCUGGUAGUCCACGCCGUAAACGAUGAGUACUAGGUGUAGGAGGUAUCGACUCCUUCUGUGCCGCAGUUAACACAAUAAGUACUCCGCCUGGGAAGUACGGUCGCAAGAUUAAAACUCAAAGGAAUUGACGGGGGCCCGCACAAGCAGCGGAGCAUGUGGUUUAAUUCGAAGCAACGCGAAGAACCUUACCUAGACUUGACAUCUCCUGAAUAGCCGGUAACUCGGCGAAGCCUUUCGGGGCAGGAAGACAGGUGGUGCAUGGUUGUCGUCAGCUCGUGUCGUGAGAUGUUGGGUUAAGUCCCGCAACGAGCGCAACCCUUAUCAUUAGUUGCUACCAUUUAGUUGAGCACUCUAAUGAGACUGCCGUGGUUAACGCGGAGGAAGGUGGGGAUGACGUCAAAUCAUCAUGCCCCUUAUGUCUAGGGCUACACACGUGCUACAAUGGUGAGUACAAAGAGACGCAAUAUCGUGAGGUGGAGCAAAACUCAAAAACUCAUCCCAGUUCGGAUUGUAGGCUGAAACUCGCCUACAUGAAGCCGGAGUUGCUAGUAAUCGCGAAUCAGCAUGUCGCGGUGAAUACGUUCCCGGGCCUUGUACACACCGCCCGUCACACCAUGAGAGUCUGCAACACCCGAAGUCCGUGAGGUAACCCGUAAGGGAGCCAGCGGCCGAAGGUGGGGCCGAUGAUUGGGGUGAAGUCGUAACAAGGUAACC
rnacentral:rRNA from 1 species